AAUAGACAGCAAAAAGGUAAACGUUUGCCUGAAAUCCGCACGCCAGCUCCACCACCCCGCCCGAUGGUCCCGGUUCCUCUGGGAAUCGUCCUGUAUGCAACAUCUUCACAAGGGUGGCAGGCAGUUGAAUCUCUGGACUUCGUGAGACCACUGGACAUUUGGCAGAGAACCAGGAAGCCACGGUUCCCUUCUGUGAGUCCCUCAGCCGGAAAACUACAAGAUGAGUGUAGGGCUAUUAUCAUGGGCUUUUUCCCCAGCUGCAGGUGAUGGUCUUGUUUUCCCAAGUUGCUACAGAGCUUCUGCAGCUCCAAGCAUGACCACUAUAUUUGGCUGCUUAAAAGCAUGACAAGGGCAGAAAUCAUAAAGGCUUUGCCCAGAGGGCCUUGAUUGUCCUUGCCUUCUUGUCCUUUGGUGAGAACUUCAUUGGUGGCGGCUCCAAAAAUCAGUAGACUUUCUGUGAUGAAUUCACCAUAAGAACUGUGGGACCCAGCCUCCCUUGAAGGAUGUCCUAUAUGAUGCCUGUUUUCCAUGGGAGGAAGUGAAGUCAAGAA
rnacentral:antisense_RNA from 1 species